rnacentral:lncRNA from 1 species
AGUAUGACUGGGAAAGGGCUUUCGAUAGACUAGACCCUUGUGUCAAAUGGAGCAAAGACUUUGCCUGCGCUGCCACAAAGCCAGUGGGGCUUCAUAUAAGUCAGCUCUCUGGCUGAAUCCCAGUUCCCUCGAAUUUAAAAGUCUGGAAUAGACACUUCCCAGCACAUCCUAGCUCUGUGGUCCUCUGUCUGGAAUAAUGGCCACCGUGGCAUCUGUCCACAUUGCCCUUCCCUUAGAAGCUGUACCUAGUUCCUGCUCUUCCCCACAGUGGAACCGAGCCCCUCCCCCAUUGCCCAUUGUAGGACCAUCAGCACAGAGCAGGGAAAUGAAGAAUAAGAGGGAGCAAUAUCACACUAACUUUCCAGCCACAGCAGCAGAGGCUGGCUGGAGAGAGACCGGAGUUCUCCGAGGGCACAGAACUGCUGAGCCGCCAGCCGGAAACCCUGGUUACUCUCUUGCAAACAGCAAGAGAGGUGAUCCAGAAAUACCAAGCAAAUAUUUUUCCUCUUACAUGUGGUUCUUAUUUCCCUGGUGUUUCUAGGCAGUAUUAGCUGUAUGCUGAAGCGACCCAUCUUAUAUUGCUCAGGAUCUCAUAUACACAGGCAUGAUGGUAUUAUGAUAUUAUCACUUUUAAUGCUACCAUAAUUUUAUAGCCUGUGGUAUGUAUAUAGGGGUCCUUAUUAUAACAUCUACUUGGGCCUUUUUAUCAGGCGUCAUCCUUUCUCUGUUGUCAGCUACAUUGCUGAGGGCUUUGAGGGCUUCCUUUAAUGCCGUCACUCUAUGGUCUCAGGUUCUGAAUUGUCAUUUUCUGCUUUUGUACGGUUUCCUUUCGCUCCUAUGAGCUUCGUUACCUGCUCGUGAAGAAUGUGGCUCCUUGGAAGUCAGGACAGCGGGCAGCCCCAGCCCUGCCCAGGGUCUUGUUAGGAGUGUAUCUCCUCUCAUCCUCAGCAUGACAGAUUUGAGGUUCUGGUGCACAUGGAAGCCGAAACGAAUUGCUGAGAUGAGACCCCAAAGACAAAGAGACGUGUGAGUGGCUAAGUGUUUCAAGGGGCAAUUUAAUCAUUGCUGACUUCGGACUUUCUGGGUUGCAGAAAUUGUCCCUGUAGCAGCAGAGGCUCUGUCUUUUAGACAUUGUUAGAGCCUGAAUCACAGUGGGGGAGUGGGCUUCCAAAGUUAUGGGAUGGUAUUUUUGUAAUUUCCCUUCAGAAAGGAUGCUGUCUGAAUCUCUCUCAGGAGCUAAGCACAUCCCUGCACUGCAUACAGCCCUCAGCUCUGCCUCCUGCUAGCACUCUACCCUGGGGCAAGAGAGGGACCUCUCUAAACCCAAGUUCCCUCUUCUAGAAUAGCGUGGCUGUGACUUAGUUUAUUUUACUUCAUAACCUGAGGGAUUAGAGACAAUGAUAUUUUUUAAGAGCACUAACAAACCCUUCAUUAUAUCUUAGUUAUUUUUAUUCAAUCGCUUUACUAGAUCAUAAAAUAUAAUGCUUUAGGGCCUAGGGAGUUGGCUCGGUUGAAACAACGCUUGCCUCAUGAGCAUGAAGACAUGAGUUUGAAGCCCUCCCCAGAACCCACAGUUAAGUCAGAUGUGGUGGUGUGCACCAGGGAAGUGGAAACAUAUGGAUCCUGGAGCUCACGGAUCAGACAGGCCGGCUCAACUGGGGGAUCCCUGGUAAAAUCAAGAGACUUUGUUUCUUCACAAACAAACAAACAAAUGAAUGAAC